CCUACGGGAGGCAGCAGUGGGGAAUAUUGCACAAUGGGGGAAACCCUGAUGCAGCGACGCCGCGUGAGUGAAGAAGUAUUUCGGUAUGUAAAGCUCUAUCAGCAGGGAAGAAAAUGACGGUACCUGAUUAAGAAGCCCCGGCUAACUACGUGCCAGCAGCCGCGGUAAUACGUAGGGGGCAAGCGGUAUCCGGAUUUACUGGGGGAAAGGGGAGCGUAGACGGCAGCACAAGUCUGGAGUGAAAUCCCGGGGCUUAACCCCGGGACUGCUUUGGAAACUGUGCGGCUGGAGUGCAGGAGGGGUAAGCGGAAUUCCUAGUGUAGCGGUGAAAUGCGUAGAUAUUAGGAGGAACACCGGUGCGAAGGCGGCUUACUGGACUGUAACUGACGUUGAGGCGCGAAAGCGUGGGGAGCAAACAGGAUUAGAUACCCCUGUAGUC
rnacentral:rRNA from 1 species